rnacentral:rRNA from 1 species
AAUGAACGUUGGCGGCGUGGAUUAGGCAUGCAAGUCGAGCGAGAAGAGUUUGGUAGCUUGCUAUUGAACUCGGAAAGCGGCGAAAGGGAGAGUAACGCGUAGUUACGUGCCCCAGGGUUCGGAAUAGCCACGGGAAACUGUGGGUAAUGCCGAAUAACAUCUCCGGAUCAAAGGUGUGAUUCCGCCCUGGGAGCGGACUGCGUCCUACUAGCUAGUUGGCGGGGUAAUGGCCCACCAAGGCAACAAUGGGUAGCGGGUGUGAGAGCAUGACCCGUCUCACUGGGACUGAGACACUGCCCAGACACCUACGGGUGGCUGCAGUCGAGAACCUUCGGCAAUGGGCGAAAGCCUGACCGAGCGACGCCGCGUGCGGGAUGAAGGCCCUCGGGUUGUAAACCGCUGUCGUAGGGGAGGAAGGCUCCAUGAAGAAUGGGGUUUGACCUAUCCUAGGAGGAAGUACGGGCUAAGCUCGUGCCAGCAGCCGCCGUAA